GCCUGGGUGGCUCAGUCGGUUAAGCGUCCGACUUCGGCUCAGGUCAUGAUCUCACGGUUCGUGGGUUCAAGCCCCGCAUCGGGCU
rnacentral:tRNA from 1 species